rnacentral:lncRNA from 1 species
AAGUGGUAGCGACAAAGCUCGGUGGGCGGCGGGCGGUGUAGUGCAGGGAGCGCCGGGCGGCGGGCGGCAGGGAGGGGCGGAGCGCAGGAGGUGGAGGCGGGAGCAGAGCUGCUCGGCCGUGCGCGGAGACGCGCGGAGCCGGCGGGCCAAGCUUGACGGGCCCCUCGCCGCUCCUCCUCUCCCCUCCCUGCCACCAUCCUGCUCGUUCUCCUCCGGACGCGGCUGGGCUCCGUGUGGCGCCACCGUGCCGCCAGCAGUGCCCGUUCGCCCGAGGCGCGUGGGGCGCCCCCGCAGCCCCGCGAAUGCUGCUGCUAGGGGUGGUGGGAGCAGCCGUGGGACGCGUGGCCGGGAGCGGGGGUGACAGCCUGGGAUUCCAGGGUCUUCUCUUCCUUGUCCUCCUCCUCUCCUCUCUAUUCCCAGUGUGGCCGUGGCUGACACUAAAGACUUUGUAGCCAUCAACCAGAGUGCAGUUUCGAUGGAAAAUGAAGAUGCUAGAAAAGGUACUUGACAAAUCAUUUCUUCCUCCCUUCCCUUGUUUGCUUUUAAAAUCUGUAUCUGGUACACAGGAGCUGCAGUGUAAGUUGAAUGCUUUUCCCAUUGUUGAGAAUGUAAGCUUGAUUGGCUAAGUAGGACUUUAAAUCUUAAAAUAGGUGUUUCUUGUGGAUGUCGUAAUCUGUUGUGCGAUUGGAGAACCGUGGCAUAUGUAGGAAAUAUGGUGAGAGGCAUGGUUAACUUGGCCCGUUUCAUUCUAGAGGGAUAGUUGGUGGAAUGCGUUUUCUGACACACUGAAGUGUGUAACUGCAGAGGAGUUUAUGCUAAUUGGAUCUUGAGGAAAGCAGUUGUGUUUUUUUUCUGAUGGUAUGAAAAAUUAUCCUCUUGUCUUUUAUAGAUUUCAGAAAGUCAGAUUUUUUUUAUAAGACAAUAUUAAGCCCAUUCAUAUAGCGGUUUCUAUUUAGAAAUCUCUGUAAGUAAAUCUCAGAGUUACUGUACAUAUCCGAGCUAUUUUCAGAGUAUUACCAGAUUUAGCAGAGUAGCCUGAAGUAGGUGGAUACUUGGCUGUUGGUUUCCUUUCUCGGU